CCUACGGGAGGCAGCAGUGGGGAAUAUUGGGCAAUGGAGGCAACUCUGACCCAGCAAUGCCGCGUGAAUGAAGAAGGUUUUCGGAUUGUAAAGUUCUUUAAUUGGGGACGAAAAAAAUGACGGUACCCAAGGAAUAAGCCCCGGCUAACUACGUGCCAGCCGCCGCGGUAAAACGUAGGGGGCAAGCGUUGUGCGGAAUGACUGGGCGUAAAGGGUGUGUAGGCGGUGUAGCAAGGUAGAAGUGAAAAACCUAGGGCUUAACUCAAGUGCUGCUUAUGAAACUGCUAUACUUGAGUGCAGUAGAGGAAAGUGGAAUUCCUAGUGUAGCGGUGAAAUGCGUAGAUAUUAGGAGGAACAUCAGUGGCGAAGGCGACUUUCUGGACUGUAACUGACGCUGAGGCACGAAAGUGUGGGGAGCAAACAGGAUUAGAUACCCCAGUAGUC
rnacentral:rRNA from 1 species